UCCCUGAUGGCUCUGAUGGUAAAGAAUCUGCCUGCAAUGCAGGAGGCCCAGGUUCGAUUCCUGGGUUGGGAA
rfam:TPA: Bos taurus chromosome 14, whole genome shotgun sequence.